rnacentral:rRNA from 1 species
AACCUUUACAAUGCACGCAAGUGUGAUAAGGGAACCCCAAGUGCUUAUGCUUAGCAUAGGCUUUUGCCAAGAGCAAAAAUCUUGGCGAAUAAAUGGUGGGUAAGACUGGUGCCAGCAGCCGCGGUAACACCAGCGCCAUGAGUGGCAAUCGGAAUUAUUGGGCCUAAAGCGUCCGUAGCCGGUUUGAUAAGUCUUUUGUGAAAUCGUUGUGCUUAACAUAACGUUGUGCAAGAGAUACUGUCGAACUUGGAACCGGGAGGAGUCAGAGGUAUUCUAGGGGGAGCGGUAAAAUGCUGUAAUCCCUGGAGGACCGCCUGUGGCGAAAGCGUCUGACUAGAACGGAUUCGACGGUGAGGGACGAAAGCCAGGGGAGCAAACCGG